rnacentral:rRNA from 1 species
GAUGAACGCUGGCGGCAUGCCUAAUACAUGCAAGUCGAACGAACAGAGCCGUAAGUUAUGAGUAGCAAUACGAGUAACGAAUGGAUUUUCUGUGAGUGGCGAACGGGUGAGUAACACGUGGGUAACCUGCCUAGAAGAAUGGGAUAACUAUUAGAAAUGAUAGCUAAUACCAAAUAGGAUAUGAGAUGACAUCAUCAAAUAUUUAAAGAUGCGUUAGCAUCGCUACUAGAUGGGCUUGCGUUGCAUUAGCUAGUUGGUAAGGUAAUGGCUUACCAAGGCGACGAAGCAUAGCCGGACUGAGAGGUUGACCGGCCACAUUGGGACUGAGACACGGCCCAAACACCUGCGGGUGGCAGCAGUAGGGAAUUUUUCGCAAUGGACGGAAGUCUGACGGAGCAAUGCCGCGUGAGUGAUGAAGGUUUUCGGAUCGUAAAGCUCUGUUGUAAGGGAAGAAUAGCUAGAUGAGGAAAUGAAUUUAGUCUGACGGUACCUUACGAGGAAGGGACGGCUAACUACGUGCCAGCAGCCGCAGUAA